UUUUUGAAGCUGUUACGAACUAAGAUACUUGACGAUCUGAUGCACCUACUGCUGUGGAAACCAGUCUAUGACUACAGUGUUCUUUUAAUUGCUGGUGUGAGCCUUUCCACAGCAACAUUCACUUCUCAAUACUUGUACCUUUUCCCAAUGUGAAGUGAUGGGAAACAAGUUUCAGUACAUUUUGGUUUCAACACAAUGCCACCAGGCGUCGCCACCCGUGUUGUGGUUACCAGCUCAGUCUUUGUAGUCCAGCAAAACAACCACUUUUGAUAAAUUCAGGCGAAAAUCUCCAUUUUCAUAAAAGAUUGCAUGGGACUGACACGGAGUCAGCUUCGUUUCUGCAAAUUUAACACAGACAAUACGAAGUUAAGAGACUGCAUAUAAAAUUAUUUCAAUAGGGACUAGCUCUGCUCACACAUUGAAACAAGACGUGCCAUGCUACCAUCUGAACCUUGUUAACCUGUGAACUCCUGAUGUACAGUGCAGAUUGUUGGAAUGAAAGUUUCACAUCUUGAUUGCCUAAAGUAACAAGUAAAUGGCAAUGUUCACUCAUGCAGAAAUAUUAUGCUUUUGAAUUAUGCAGAUGCUGUGAUGAGAAAUGUGCGUAGGACAUUUUUUUUUAACUUUUUUUUCUUUAGUGAAUUUUAGUGUAAAAAACUUGUGUAAAAAAGAAGUAUAAAAAGUAAGUAUUGUUAGGGCUACUGGUCAUGCUGCGUAAAAUCACGUCGUACGAAAAGUAAAUAGAAUUUUUUUUAGAUAACAGUGAGAACUUUUUUUUUCUUUUACAAUCCACGAGUGUCACAACACUCUAGAUUGAGAGCAUUACCACAGUGCUCAGCAUUUGUGGAAAUUUCAGCACUUGGGCAGAUGAGCGAGCAUACAGCAGAAGUCGCUCCAUGAGCAUUAGACAACCAUGCUGAGACAAUGCAAAGAUGACAAGCUUGGAUGGGAUUCCUUCUUUACGGAGUUGCAUGGCAAACGUGGGUAUACCCUUUGGUUGAAGCCAUUUUUUUUUUUUUUUUCAGUUCCCAGACCUUGCCUACAUUGCUACAACGAAAUGGUAUUGGCAACAUGGUUAUCUCGCGCUUGAGAACAUAGUAAAUAAAUUAUCAUUCCCCCUCCCUGCCAUUCAUCAUUGUUGAAUUACGCUCACACAGACAGUCAAGCCAUUCAUGCACGGGAACUUUAUCAAGCAGUCUAUAGUUUUCCCUUCCCUUUUCGAAGCAAAACUUGAUGACCUUUGAAACUGAAGGUGCCUACAGUCUGUGUAAUAGGGCCUUCACACCCAAUUUUGGGGGGCAAAAAAAUAUUGCACGUCAUGAAAUAUCAAACUUGACAUAUCAAAGCAAAUUGACAUCACUUAAUUGGCACUUUAAAAUGCAAUUUGUAAACAACAGUAUG
rnacentral:lncRNA from 1 species